rnacentral:rRNA from 1 species
AGCGAACGCUGGCGGCAUGCUUUACACAUGCAAGUCGAACGGUAACAGGCCGCAAGGUGCUGACGAGUGGCGAACGGGUGAGUAAUGCAUCGGAACGUGCCCAGUCGUGGGGGAUAACUGCUCGAAAGAGCAGCUAAUACCGCAUACGAUCUAUGGAUGAAAGCGGGGGACCGUGAGGCCUCGCGCGAUUGGAGCGGCCGAUGUCAGAUUAGGUAGUUGGUGGGGUAAAGGCUCACCAAGCCAACGAUCUGUAGCUGGUCUGAGAGGACGACCAGCCACACUGGGACUGAGACACGGCCCAGACUCCUACGGGAGGCAGCAGUGGGGAAUUUUGGACAAUGUGGGCAACCCUGAUCCAGCAAUGCCGCGUGCAGGAAGAAGGCCUUCGGGUUGUAAACUGCUUUUGUACGGAACGAAACGGUCUGGGUUAAUACCCUGGGCUAAUGACGGUACCGUAAGAAUAAGCACCGGCUAACUACGUGCCAGCCGCCGCGGUAACAC